UUAAGUUAUUAAGGGCGCACGGUGGAUGCCUUGGCACUAGAAGCCGAUGAAGGACGUUACUAACGACGAUAUGCUUUGGGGAGCUGUAAGUAAGCUUUGAUCCAGAGAUUUCCGAAUGGGGAAACCCAGCAUGAGUUAUGUCAUGUUAUCGAUAUGUGAAUACAUAGCAUAUCAGAAGGCACACCCGGAGAACUGAAACAUCUUAGUACCCGGAGGAAGAGAAAGAAAAUUCGAUUCCCUUAGUAGCGGCGAGCGAAACGGGAAGAGCCCAAACCAAAAAGCUUGCUUGUUGGGGUUGUAGGACACUCUAUACGGAGUUACAAAGGACGACAUUAGACGAAUCAUCUGGAAAGAUGAAUCAAAGAAGGUAAUAAUCCUGUAGUCGAAAAUGUUGUCUCUCUUGAGUGGAUCCUGAGUACGACGGAGCACGUGAAAUUCCGUCGGAAUCUGGGAGGACCAUCUCCUAAGGCUAAAUACUCUCUAGUGACCGAUAGUGAACCAGUACCGUGAGGGAAAGGUGAAAAGCACCCCGGAAGGAGAGUGAAAUAGAACCUGAAACCGUGUGCUUACAAGUAGUCAGAGCCCGUUAAUGGGUGAUGGCGUGCCUUUUGUAGAAUGAACCGGCGAGUUACGAUUUGAUGCAAGGUUAAGCAGUAAAUGUGGAGCCGUAGCGAAAGCGAGUCUGAAUAGGGCGUUUAGUAUUUGGUCGUAGACCCGAAACCAGGUGAUCUACCCUUGGUCAGGUUGAAGUUCAGGUAACACUGAAUGGAGGACCGAACCGACUUACGUUGAAAAGUGAGCGGAUGAACUGAGGGUAGCGGAGAAAUUCCAAUCGAACCUGGAGAUAGCUGGUUCUCUCCGAAAUAGCUUUAGGGCUAGCCUCAAGUGAUGAUUAUUGGAGGUAGAGCACUGUUUGGACGAGGGGCCCCUCUCGGGUUACCGAAUUCAGACAAACUCCGAAUGCCAAUUAAUUUAACUUGGGAGUCAGAACAUGGGUGAUAAGGUCCGUGUUCGAAAGGGAAACAGCCCAGACCACCAGCUAAGGUCCCAAAAUAUAUGUUAAGUGGAAAAGGAUGUGGCGUUGCCCAGACAACUAGGAUGUUGGCUUAGAAGCAGCCAUCAUUUAAAGAGUGCGUAAUAGCUCACUAGUCGAGUGACACUGCGCCGAAAAUGUACCGGGGCUAAACAUAUUACCGAAGCUGUGGAUUGUCCUUUGGACAAUGGUAGGAGAGCGUUCUAAGGGCGUUGAAGCAUGAUCGUAAGGACAUGUGGAGCGCUUAGAAGUGAGAAUGCCGGUGUGAGUAGCGAAAGACGGGUGAGAAUCCCGUCCACCGAUUGACUAAGGUUUCCAGAGGAAGGCUCGUCCGCUCUGGGUUAGUCGGGUCCUAAGCUGAGGCCGACAGGCGUAGGCGAUGGAUAACAGGUUGAUAUUCCUGUACCACCUAUAAUCGUUUUAAUCGAUGGGGGGACGCAGUAGGAUAGGCGAAGCGUGCGAUUGGAUUGCACGUCUAAGCAGUAAGGCUGAGUAUUAGGCAAAUCCGGUACUCGUUAAGGCUGAGCUGUGAUGGGGAGAAGACAUUGUGUCUUCGAGUCGUUGAUUUCACACUGCCGAGAAAAGCCUCUAGAUAGAAAAUAGGUGCCCGUACCGCAAACCGACACAGGUAGUCAAGAUGAGAAUUCUAAGGUGAGCGAGCGAACUCUCGUUAAGGAACUCGGCAAAAUGACCCCGUAACUUCGGGAGAAGGGGUGCUCUUUAGGGUUAACGCCCAGAAGAGCCGCAGUGAAUAGGCCCAAGCGACUGUUUAUCAAAAACACAGGUCUCUGCUAAACCGUAAGGUGAUGUAUAGGGGCUGACGCCUGCCCGGUGCUGGAAGGUUAAGAGGAGUGGUUAGCUUCUGCGAAGCUACGAAUCGAAGCCCCAGUAAACGGCGGCCGUAACUAUAACGGUCCUAAGGUAGCGAAAUUCCUUGUCGGGUAAGUUCCGACCCGCACGAAAGGCGUAACGAUUUGGGCACUGUCUCAACGAGAGACUCGGUGAAAUCAUAGUACCUGUGAAGAUGCAGGUUACCCGCGACAGGACGGAAAGACCCCGUGGAGCUUUACUGUAGCCUGAUAUUGAAAUUCGGCACAGCUUGUACAGGAUAGGUAGGAGCCUUUGAAACGUGAGCGCUAGCUUACGUGGAGGCGCUGGUGGGAUACUACCCUAGCUGUGUUGGCUUUCUAACCCGCACCACUUAUCGUGGUGGGAGACAGUGUCAAGCGGGCAGUUUGACUGGGGCGGUCGCCUCCUAAAAGGUAACGGAGGCGCUCAAAGGUUCCCUCAGAAUGGUUGGAAAUCAUUCAUAGAGUGUAAAGGCAUAAGGGAGCUUGACUGCGAGACCUACAAGUCGAGCAGGGUCGAAAGACGGACUUAGUGAUCCGGUGGUUCCGCAUGGAAGGGCCAUCGCUCAACGGAUAAAAGCUACCCCGGGGAUAACAGGCUUAUCUCCCCCAAGAGUUCACAUCGACGGGGAGGUUUGGCACCUCGAUGUCGGCUCAUCGCAUCCUGGGGCUGUAGUCGGUCCCAAGGGUUGGGCUGUUCGCCCAUUAAAGCGGUACGCGAGCUGGGUUCAGAACGUCGUGAGACAGUUCGGUCCCUAUCCGUCGUGGGCGUAGGAAAUUUGAGAGGAGCUGUCCUUAGUACGAGAGGACCGGGAUGGACAUACCUCUGGUGUACCAGUUGUCGUGCCAACGGCAUAGCUGGGUAGCUAUGUGUGGACGGGAUAAGUGCUGAAAGCAUCUAAGCAUGAAGCCCCCCUCAAGAUGAGAUUUCCCAACUUCGGUUAUAAGAUCCCUCAAAGAUGAUGAGGUUAAUAGGUUCGAGGUGGAAGCAUGGUGACAUGUG
rnacentral:rRNA from 1 species